rnacentral:lncRNA from 1 species
GGCAAAUCUUUUGACAAGAAAUUAAAAGAUCGAAAUUGCAUUACCUGAGCCAAUGAAUAAAUUGAUUUUCGAAACUUAGCGAACGUUGCAACCCUGUCUUGAAGAAAACAAGAUUCCGUCAACUAAACAAACUGCGCUGCAAUCUUUGAAGAUGCCACACAAGUUUUAGAGAUGAUCGAGAGAGAGACACAAGAUGAUUUAGGGUUUGAAGAUGAUCGAGAGAUACUCAAAUCUUGAUUUUUAGGGUUUCUCUUCAGAACGCGUCUUUAACCUUUUCAAUUUAUUCAUUCGAUGAAAAAUUGAAAUUUCGGUAGCUCUGAGAAGGAACACGGAAUGAAUUUCAUAGGGUCUACUACUAUGCUAUUUAU